UAAAAGUGGGCGUUUUGCGAGCAAAAUGUUCUCUUGUGAGUGAAGGGAACCCUCCUCUUCUUCUCUACAAAGCUGCUUGCAAGAUUAUAUGUAUGCUAGAGUGGUCCAUUAUAUUUUGUAUGGGCAUGCUCCAUCUCCCUCUCUCUCUUCAGUUCUUUCUCUCACUACAUUUUCAAUUCAAGAAUACCAAAAUUAAAGGGAUGUGAGAUCUGAGAAGAUUUGAAGGUGUUUUAUUUAAUUUUAUCACUAUAUAUCUGUAUAGUUAUUCUUGUUUAGCUAGCUAGCACCAUGGAAGCUCAAGAAAGCCGUGGGAGAACAUGGCAACUCAGGAUUUUUUGGGGCGAUCUGUUUCUUGCUUUUAUGGUCAAGAUCUCUCCCAUGGACUGCAUCCAAGAAGCUUUGAUCAUCUUCCUCCUUGCAUGGAUCAUGGUAACUCUCUUGUAAUUUAGACCCUUUUUUUGCAUAACUUUUUUAAUGGUUUUAAUUUCUUUUUCUUGUUCUGUAAGGAAAAUUCUCUUCUAAUCCAUGAGAAUUCUUCACCAAGAUUUGGUUUUUGUGAUGAAUUAUGAUACGGGGUUUCAUCCUCCGUGAUAUUUCCACCAUAACUUCCCCCCUUUUGCUGUUAGAGAGGAGAAAUUAGGCUUCAAACCAUUUAAACCAUGCAUGAAGAGAGUAACAGAACAUUUUGAAGUCUUGUUUAGUAAUUGGAAAUUCAACUUUCCUUAAGAUUAACAUAAAUAAUGGUCAUUGAAUCAAAAUUGUGAGGGGGAAAGAAAAAGAGUUGUGUUUUGUGUUCCUUGCAGGGAAGAUUCCGUACCUUUACUUUUCGUUGUUGAUGAUAGUUCUUCCUGUUGGUUUUUUGGUUUAUUUCUAACAUGAUCUCCUACGUUUCCGUGAAAAAGGUUUAACUUUGUCACUUUGUUGACAUCAUUUUUAACCACUCUCCCACAUUCUGACAUCAGUGUUUUUUCACCUCCCCCGUUUUCUGGUAGUUGAAGAUUUGUGCAUUUAUACAAUAAUGUAUAAAUUAUUGGGUUUUGAUUACAUUUCUCAGAUGUUAAUUUAGCUGAUGAUCUCAACUUGAACAAACCUACACAAUUAUUAUUGUUCUUUUGAAUCUUGAUAUCUAUCUCAAAGCCUUUGUACUAUGUUCUGCAUUGCAGUCCAUGAAAAUUCCCAUAAUUCUUUAUAUAAUUCUUGAUUCAGUGUUAAGUUGCAGAGAAUCAUUGCAACUUGGAGUGUGGCUGUUGGGAUUCCUAAUUAUCUCUCUCUUUUAGUUUUUCUUUUAAUUUCAACGAAUAAUGUAUUUUUGUUUUCUAAUUUCAAGCGCUCUUGAUCGAAAUACAACGUAAAUUCCUCUUCAUU